rnacentral:rRNA from 1 species
CACGUAGGGUGCAAGCGUUGUCCGGAAUUAUUGGGCGUAAAGAGCUCGUAGGCGGUCUGUCGCGUCUGCUGUGAAAACUCAGGGCUUAACCCCAAGCCUGCUUCCGAUACGGGCGGACUAGAGGUAGGCAGGGGAGAACGGAAUUCCUGGUGUAGCGGUGAAAUGCGCAGAUAUCAGGAGGAACACCGGUGGCGAAGGCGGUUCUCUGGGCCUUACCUGACGCUGAGGAGCGAAAGCGUGGGGAGCAAACAGG